rnacentral:rRNA from 1 species
AAUGAACGCUGGCGGCGUGCUUAACACAUGCAAGUCGAACGAAGCAUUUAGAACGGAUUACUUCGGUUUGAAGUUCUUUAUGACUGAGUGGCGGACGGGUGAGUAACGCGUGGGUAACCUGCCUUGUACUGGGGGAUAGCAGCUGGAAACGGCUGGUAAUACCGCAUAAGCGCACAAUGUUGCAUGACAUGGUGUGAAAAACUCCGGUGGUAUAAGAUGGACCCGCGUCUGAUUAGCUAGUUGGUGAGAUAACAGCCCACCAAGGCGACGAUCAGUAGCCGACCUGAGAGGGUGACCGGCCACAUUGGGACUGAGACACGGCCCAGACUCCUACGGGAGGCAGCAGUGGGGAAUAUUGCACAAUGGAGGAAACUCUGAUGCAGCGACGCCGCGUGAGUGAAGAAGUAAUUCGUUAUGUAAAGCUCUAUCAGCAGGGAAGAUAGUGACGGUACCUGACUAAGAAGCUCCGGCUAAAUACGUGCCAGCAGCCGCCGUAACAC